GAUGAACGCUGGCGGCGUGCCUAAUACAUGCAAGUCGAGCGAACGGACGAGAAGCUUGCUUCUCUGAUGUUAGCGGCGGACGGGUGAGUAACACGUGGAUAACCUACCUAUAAGACUGGGAUAACUUCGGGAAACCGUAGCUAAUACCGGAUAAUAUUUUGAACCGCAUGGUUCAAAAGUGAAAGACGGUCUUGCUGUCACUUAUAGAUGGAUCCGCGCUGCAUUAGCUAGUUGGUAAGGUAACGGCUUACCAAGGCAACGAGGCAUAGCCGACCUGAGAGGGGGAUCGGCCACCCUGGAACGGAGACGCGGACCAGACUCCUACGGGAGGCAGCAGUAGGGAAUCGGCCGCAAUGGGCGAAAGCCUGACGGAGCAACGCCGCGUGAGUUAUGAAGGUCUUCGGAGCGUAAAACUCUGUUAUUAGGGAAGAACAUAUUUGUAAGGAACUGUGCACAUCUUGACGGUACCUAAUCAGAAAGCCACGGCUAACUACGUG
rnacentral:rRNA from 1 species